GGAGGAGGCAAGCGUUGUCCGGAAUUAUUGGGCGUAAAGAGCGCGUAGGCUGUUUUCAAGUCAUAUGUGAAAACCUCAGGCUUAACUUGAGGACUGCAUAUGAAACUGGAAAACUUGAGUGCAGUAGGGGAAAGUGGAAUUCCUGGUGUAGCGGUGAAAUGCGCAGAUAUCAGGAAGAACACCGGUAGCGAAGGCGGCUUUCUGGGCUGCUACUGACGCUGAGGCGCGAAAGCUAGGGGGAGCAAACAGGAUUAGAUACCCUGGUAGUCCUAGCUGUAAACGAUGGACACUAGGUGUGGGAAGUUAUCGACGCUUUCCGUGCCGGAGCUAACGCAUUAAGUGUCCCCGCCUGGGAGUACGGCCGCAAGGCUA
rnacentral:rRNA from 1 species